GAGACCCACGCCCACAGUUGCCAGCGUACUCUCCGGAGUGACGGGUACACUGUGGGGACCGCCGCUGCUAAAGCGGAGGAAGGAAUGGGCAACGGUAGGUCAGUAUGCCCCGAAUAUCCCGGGCUACACGCGAGCUACAAUGGUUGGUACAAUGGGUAUCUACCCCGAAAGGGGACGGAAAUCUCCUAACGCCAAUCUUAGUUCGGAUCGAGGGCUGCAACUCGCCCUCGUGAAGCUGGAAUCCAUAGUAAUCGCACAUCAACAGUGUGCGGUGAAUAC
rnacentral:rRNA from 1 species